rnacentral:rRNA from 1 species
GACGAACGCUGGCGGCGUGCUUAACACAUGCAAGUCGAACGGAAAGGCCCUGCUUUUGUGGGGUUCUCGAGUGGCGAACGGGUGAGUAACACGUGUGUAUCCUGCCCUUGACUUUGGGAUAACUUCAGGAAACUGGGGCUAAUACCGGAUAGGAGCUCCUGCUGCAUGGUGUUGGUUGGAAAGUUUCGGCUGUUGGGGAUGGACUCGCGGCUUAUCCGCUUGUUGGUGGGGUAGUUGCUUACCAAGGGUUUGACGGGUAGCCGGCCUGGGAGGGUUAACGGGGACAAGGGGACUGCGAGACGGACCAGAAGGCUAUGGGAGGCAGUAGGGGGGAGCCUGGCAGAAUGGGGGGAAGCCAGAUGCAGAAACGCUGCGUGCGGGAUGACCGGUUUUGGGUGGUAAACAGAUUUGGAAUGAGACGAAGAGGGAGUGACGGUAAUGGGUAAAGAAGCACCGGCUAACUACGUG